GCAGCCCGAGGCGCGUCGUGCGUUCUCCUGGGAAAGAUCACGGGAGCCUGGCGGUGGUGGGCUGCACAGGCUCCCGGGAGGGGCGGUGUGGCGAGUGACCUGUGCUCGCACACAGGCUUUUUGGUGGCGGCAGCAGCAGCCUUAGCGUCUCACGCCUGUCUCUGGGGUCCGCGCUAAUGGCCGCGGCUAGGAAGUCUCUGGAGCUCGUUUAGGCGGCGCUCUGAAUCCCCUCUCCUCGCACACCAGGAAACAAAGAGAGCUUGGAAGCACGCCUUGAAUUAACCAGAGAUGCCCUGGAGGAUGAACGGCAAGGCUGAGAAUCACUGAAUUGAGAAGCUGAAAAGCAGUAGAUAUAGAGAAGCAACGCUCUGGAGAAGCCUGAGGCUGGCGAUACAAUGUCAGAUGGAGAGAAUACAUAUGGAUAUUCACUUUUCCUAAGCUCUUUUAUCCAUGAUACCAGCAAAACAAAAACAAAAACGAACUCCUCUUCAUCAACAAGAGUGACAGCCCCAAUUGCUAGACUACGUGCUGAUAAGAUCCCAGGCUAUGAAAGCCACAGAAACCAGUUAGCGAGGCAAGGAAAUAAGGACCGCAGGUUUGAUUUUUCUAUUCAAUUCCAUCUUUUUGGAAUCUGCCUGAGACACUAAGAUAAUCUUAUAUACUAUGACACUUUUUGGAGGGUUUGAUCAAUCUUUUUUAUAUACCAUCAGAAGGCUGUAUAUCAUGUUUUAAAUUUUAUUCAAUAGCCUAAAUGUGAGCAGAAGUUGCAACAUUAUUUCAACACAAGAAACACAACAUUAUUAAAUGUUACGGAUAUUAAACCAUGAAGAAGUGUUUGACAACCCCUUGUAACUUUUCUUUAAAGCCAAAAAUGUCUAUUCUGUAGCCAUACACUUUCAAAUAUCAUCCCAUCUAGCUUGGGGUUGAAAAAUCUCUGUGAUAAUCAGCCCACACAGUCCUGCUUCACCAGCUUCGCUUGCUGCCACGGAAGUGAAGGAUUCGACAUAUUUGUUAACAUUAUAUAGUAAUUGGACAAUCUUUUGUUCAAUGCUCUUAAUGUUCCUAGAAUAAAAACAUUAAAAAUGCACUUUAAAAAACCGGGAAUACUCAUUUCACACAAGCAAUAGUUUUUAAUUUUGAAAAAGAGUCUAAUUGAAAUUACAUUUGUUAUGCAGAGACUACCAGUAAUUAUCUUGGCUUCAAAUAUGCAAAUGCAAAGAUUCCUUUGGAAGUGAUGACUCUUUUCAGAAGUGGCUACUGGUUGAGUUCGGUGAUCUGGGGACUGGCCUGUGAAGCAGGUGGUCCCAGGGGUACUGGACGGCCUUCCAGAGCAGCUGUGGUAGCACACGUGCCAAUUUAGCCAAGAGAUUCCUGACCCGGCAGUAAGUCACAGUGCUGGUCCCAAUCACACCACUUCAACCACAGAGUUCUUGAACUGGGCAAACCCUCUUCCCACAAAGCAGUGACACACCAUCGUUUUAGCCUCUAGUCUCCUAAUAUGAUCAUCAAAAAUGAGAGAACCCAGACACACAUGAUGAAACUAAAAAGGGAAGUUGGAAUCCUGCCCCAGCUAUGACUUCAGGGGUUUGGUAAAGGAGACCACCAUUGCCAAAAGCAGUGACUUACAGGAAAGGAGGGACUCUCACAGGAUGCCAUAACUCACAUUUUGGGGCUCAAAACAGCAUGCAAGAACCUCUCUCUUAAAUAGCUCAUGGCCAGAGACAACUUUACCACCUCCUCUGGAUGAUAUAUCAUGUUAUUGCAAUUUAUGUGACUUCGGUAACUACUGUACAGUAACCACUCCAAGUCCUCUGAACAGGAAGCUUCUCAACAUACUGAUUUCGAAUGUCCCACAAGUGCUAUAAAGUGAUUGUUGUUGACCAUUGUCUUGUUUUAAUGUCCCCUAAAUAAUAAUAAAUUUAAUGCUAAAAAAAAUUCUCAUUCAGGAAUGUAUUUCCUGUAAACUACCAAAUGAUGUAAAAAAAUAAUAAAUUUCCCCCUUGGCAACUUAAUUUGUAGAUAACUGAGGUUAUGUUUAGAUAGGAGUCUUACAUUGAAUUUGGACUCUAUGUGACUUUAAUAUCAUUAAGGGAAUAUUGUAUUGGUUACAAUGGCUCAGUAAAGUAACUGGUUUCCAUGCGGUUCUAUCAAUCUAUUUCUGUAACACUGUACACUAGUUUUCCCCCUAGAGUACUCCUUG